rnacentral:rRNA from 1 species
AGGGAAUCUUCCACAAUGGACGAAAGUCUGAUGGAGCAACGCCGCGUGAGUGAAGAAGGUUUUCGGAUCGUAAAACUCUGUUGUUGGAGAAGAACGUAUUUGAUAGUAACUGAUCAGGUAGUGACGGUAUCCAACCAGAAAGCCACGGCUAACUACGUGCCAGCAGCCGCGGUAAUACGUAGGUGGCAAGCGUUGUCCGGAUUUAUUGGGCGUAAAGCGAGCGCAGGCGGUUUCUUAAGUCUGAUGUGAAAGCCUUCGGCUCAACCGAAGAAGUGCAUCGGAAACUGGGAAACUUGAGUGCAGAAGAGGACAGUGGAACUCCAUGUGUAGCGGUGAAAUGCGUAGAUAUAUGGAAGAACACCAGUGGCGAAGGCGGCUGUCUGGUCUGUAACUGACGCUGAGGCUCGAAAGCAUGGGUAGCAAACA